rnacentral:sRNA from 1 species
UUUUUUUUUCUUUAUGUGCUGGGUUCUGUCAGAUCACGUGUACUUUUAAUGUGGAUUUAAUAGCAGCCAUUUGUUUAGUAGCCCCUCUGUGCCAGCUACUGUCCACAUAUGACCUUACUGAAUCCUUGUCACAGUACAUGAUGUAGCAGGAUUUACAGGUGAGGAAAGGGAGACAUAGGUUAAGUGACUACUCCCGGUCACACAGCUGUGAGGUGGUGGUGCCAGAAUUGGAAUAUGGCCCUUUCGUACUUCAGAGUAUGGUAUUUAUUUCUUCACAGGUGCUCUCUUUUCUGCUGUGGCCUGUGUGAAUAGCCUGGCCAUGCUGACGGCCUCCGGCAUCUUCAACUCACUCUACCCAGCCACUCUGAACUUUAUGAAGGGGUUCCCCUUCCUCCUCGGAGCUGGCCUCCUGCUCAUCCCGGCCAUUCUGAUUGGGUAAUGCAGGGCACUGAACCCAUGCUCAUAAUGGAGCCCUUUCUCUUAAAAGUUUCCUCUUCUCCUCCCAACCAGAAAUGGCAGCUUCAUUC